GCCGGGCGUGGUGGCGCACGCCUUUAAUCCCAGCACUCGGGAAGCAGAGGCAAGCAGAUUUCUGAGUUCGAGGCCAGCCUGGUCUACAGAGUGAGUUCCAGGACAGCCAGGGCUACACAGAGAAACCCUGUCUUUUUUUUUUUUUUUUUCCGAGAUAGGGUUUCUCUGUGUAGCCCUGGCUGUCCUGGAACUCACUCUGUAGACCAGGCUGGCCUUAAACUCAGCGAUCUCCCU
rnacentral:SRP_RNA from 1 species